GAGACGGCGCCGGGCAGCGCUCCGAACCCUCCACCUUCUCCCCGCUCCCGACGCCCCCUCCAGCCCCCCCCCCCUUGACAGUUCAACAUCCUCAAUAAAUCUGCCAAGAUGACACAUUCUCAACUUACCUUUGAAAUAAGAGGAACUCCAUUACCAGGAGAAAUUUUUGCAAUAUGUGGAGAUUGUGACGCUUUGGGAAAUUGGAAUCCUCAAUAUGGUGUGGCUCUUAAACCUGAAGAGAAGCCAAAUGAGGGUAUUCUAUGGAGAACAACAGUAGCACUCAAUAAAGGAGUACCAGUUCAGUAUCGUUACUUUAAAGGAUACUUUGUAGAACCAAAGACUAUCGGAGGUCCAUGUCAAGUCAUAGUUCACAAGUGGGAGACUCAUCUACAACCACGAUCAAUAACCCCUUUAGAGGGCGAAAGCACUAUUGAUGAUGGACAGUUUGGAAUCCACAAUGGUGUUGAAAAUCUCGAUACUGGAUGGCUGACGUGUCAGACUGAAAUAAGAUUACGUCUACAUUUUUCUUCAAGACCACCAGUUUUAAUAUCGAAGAAAAAAUUUAAAAAAUCUAGAUUUAGGGUAAAGGUGACAUUAGAAGGUCCAGAAGAUGAUGAAGAUUGCUUAUCUCCCAUUAUCCAUCAUAAAAUGGCAAAAAACUUAGAAAUAUCCUUAGUAAGUGAUAAUGAAUUCAAAUGUCGUCAUUCUCAGCCAGAAUGUGGUUAUGGAUUACAACCUGAUCGAUGGACAGAGUAUCACAUACAAACAAUGGAACCAGAUAAUUUGGAAUUACUCUUUGACUUUUUUGAAGAAGAUUUAAGUGAACCAGUUGUGCAAGGAGAUGCACUUCCAGGACAUGUUGGCACUGCAUGUCUGUUGUCCUCUACUAUUGCUGAAAGUAGAAGAAGUGCAGGAAUUCUCUCACUUCCCAUCAUGAGCAGGAAUUCAAGAAAAGCAAUUGGCAAAGUUAGAGUUGAUUAUAUAAUUAUUAAGCCAUUAGCUGGAUACACUUGUAAUAUGAAGUGUUCAUUUUCAAAGUACUGGAAUCCAAGAACACCUCUGGAUGUUGGACAUCGAGGUGCAGGAAACUCUACAACUACUGCCAAGCUUGCUAAAGUACAAGAAAAUACAAUUGCUUCUUUAAGAAGUGCAGCUAGUCAUGGUGCAGCUUAUGUAGAAUUUGAUGUUCAUCUUUCAAAGGAUUUUGUGCCUAUUGUAUAUCAUGAUCUCACUUGUUGCAUGACUAUGAAAAAGAAAUUUGGUGAUGAACCCACAGAACUGUUUGAAAUUCCAGUGAAAGAGUUAACUUUUGAACAACUCCAGCUGUUGAAGCUGUCUCAUGUAACUGCACUAAAAUCACAACAGUUCUUAAAUGCAUCUUUAAGCAUGGAAGAAAAUUAUAUCUCUGAAAAUCAACCAUUCCCUUCUCUCCAAAUGGUUUUAGAGGCUUUGCCAGAGAAUGUUGGGUUUAACAUUGAAAUAAAAUGGAUUUGCCAACAAAGAGAUGGGAUAUGGGAUGGCAAUUUAUCAGCAUUUUUUGACAUGAACAUGUUCUUGGAUAUAAUUUUAAAGACUGUUUUAGAAAAGUCUGGAAGUAGAAGAAUUAUAUUUUCUUCAUUUGAUCCAGAUGUCUGCACAAUGAUUCGACACAAGCAAAACAAAUAUCCUGUUUUGUUUUUGACUCAAGGAAAAACUGGUGCUUAUCCUCAACUCAUGGAUCUAAGAUCUAGGACAAUUUCCAUUGCAAUGAGUUUUGCACAGUUUGAAAAUUUGCUGGGAAUAAAUGCACAUAGUGAAGAACUUCUUAGGAAUCCAUCAUAUGUUGAUGAAGCUAGAUCUAAGGGCUUAGUAAUAUUCUGUUGGGGUGAUGAUACCAAUGAUCCUGAAAACAGAAGGAAGCUGAGGGAAUUUGGUGUUCAUGGCUUAAUCUAUGACAGGAUAUAUGAUUCGAUGCCUGAACAGCCAAAUAUAUUCCAGAUGCAAGGCAGUGAUGUGAGCAGGAGCAACAUAAGGAAGAUCAGGAAUACCACAGAUGACACCUCCAGCAUGGUCAACAAUCCUGUGUGAGGGUCAAGUCGUCAAGCACAUAGAAAUUUCUAUGUACUAGGCACUGUGCUACAAAAAUAGACACUACUCCCAAGAAUCUGACAUAUAAAUAAAUGUGACAACAUGCAUACUAGGUAUAAACAGGAUAACACAAUUGGAAUUAAUCACAAAGGAAAGGCAUUAGCACUGAGGAAAAUUGGAAAAGGAGAUUUUAAGAGAAGCCGGGAGUCAGAAAGAGGAAGACCAUUCCGGGUUUUGAGGACAAUCAGUGAAAAUGUCAGGAGAUUGAUGCCACUGUCACUGGAUCAUAAGACCACAUGUAGGGAAAUAAGGUGUAAGGAAAAAGGAUGAAACCAGGUAGUGAAGAUUUUUAAAAUCCAAAAAGAUUUUUUUUAUCUUGGAGGUAAUAGGGAACCACUAGUUUUUAAGAAUGGAAGGAGAUGGGGUUAGCUUGGGUUAAUAGAGCAUUUUUUUCAUAGCUAAGUGGAUGGACUGAAGUGGGAAGACACAAGAAAGACCAACCAGAAAAUUAUUGCAAUAGUCUGGGUAUUAAGGUGUUGAGACUGCUCUGGGGUGGCAGCAGUGUCAAGAGGAAGGAAUGGGGCAUAUAUGAGGGAAUCAUUAAUUGAUGGAUAUGAAGCAGUGAGAAUGGAGUCAAUAUUUAAAUUUGUGAACCUAGGUGACAGGAAAGAUGGUGAUACUUUAAUAGUAGAGAAGUUCGAAUAAGAAGAAGGUUUUUGAGGAAGAUAAGCAAAUUUAGACAACAUGGUGCCUAUGGGACAUCCAGUUUGAGAUGAUAAUGUAAUCCAGAGUAAAAUAAUGAGAACACAAGAUUGUGACUUAGGGGGCACUGCUAAUAGUUGUGGGAAAAAAAAUCCAGGAAAAGAAAAGGAGCAGUUCAACAGGUAGGAGCAGGUCCAGGAGAAAAACAUUACUAAAAUUAGAAAAGAAUAUAAGGAGAAGUGAAGAAUUGACAGAAAUUUUGCAAAAAGAUCAAGAAUUAUAGAUUAGGAAAGGCCAUUAGAUUUAACAGUUCAGAAAUCAUUGUUAACUUUCAAGAAAGCCAUUUGAAUUGAAUAAAUGAGGUCACAAGUCAGACUGCAAAGAGCAAUGGAAGUGAGGACAUUGACUAGUUGGCCUCAAGCUUAGCCAUGAAAGAGUCAGGAGACGGGAUUUGCCCUGACAGUAGGUGAAGACAUCUAAAUAAUAGCAAAUAGGAGGAUGAGAGGAAAAAGCUCUUGGUGAAUAGCCUAAUUUUUUUCAGUGAAAUGAAAGAUAAGGUCUUUAGUUAAAAGGGUGGAAGAAUUAGGUUCCUUGGACAAGAUUAUGGGGAAUAAUUAAAUUAAGGAACUUUGAAGGUAAAGUAUUUGAAGGAAUAUCAAAAUUAAUGUUUAAGUCCCCUAGAAUGAGGCAGGAGUUGAAGAUGAGAGGAAAAACUGUGAAAUAGUCAUUGGAGAUUGGAAAAUAAUGAUCAGAAUCUUGAUUGGAUGAUAAAUAUGAUUUAUAAAAUGACUUGAGGUCACACAGGAACUAAGUUAAUAUUGAGGCACUUCGAUUGUUACAAAUCAUAUGGUGGUCCUUGACUCACUCAUCCAAACCUUAGUGGCAUUGGCAAAAAGACUGGUGCCUUCUACAAAAGCUAAAGAAGUACUCUCACCUUAAUCCAGAGAUUCAAGAUUACCAUGAAGUCUGCUGACAUAUUCCUACUCUUCUAGCGUGUUUAAGGAAACCUAUACCUCUAGAGGCAGGGGUCGAGGUGAUGGUCAGAGAGAAAGUCACUCCUGAAGAAAAGAAAUGGGAAAACAGACUUCUGUCUACGUGAGAGUGGGAGAAUCAAUCAACAGGCAGUAAUUUGUACAGCUUCUACCCUUCAUAUUCUGCCCAACAAACCAUUAGACAAGUACAAUUUCAUCUUGGUUACUGUUGGUCUGAUUCACUGGGCCUUUUUCUGCUUUGGGGAGUUAUAAAGGUCCUGGAGAACAGAGACAAGCAACUUUCUUCAAAUGCCUCAUCUCCGAAAACAGUCAAAUUACAAGAUGUUGGAACUUUUAA